rnacentral:rRNA from 1 species
CGUGUAGGCGGAUUGGCAAGUCAAGCGUGAAAUCCCUCGGCUCAACCGAGGAACUGCGUUCGAAACUGCCUUUCUUGAGUGUGGAAGAGGAGAGUGGAACUCCUGGUGGAGCGGUGAAAUGCGUAGAUAUCAGGAGGAACGCCGGCGGCGAAAGCGGCUCUCUGGUCCACUACUGACGCUGAGGCGCGAAAGCCAGGGUAGCGAACG